GAAAGAUCAAAGACAAUACUAAACAUUCAUCAAAGUUUCACCCCUAGCUCUAGCUAAAUGUUUAGGAAUACAUAGUGAAAUGUUACAAAGAAAAUGAAGGAAACUAGAAUAUGAUGGAGAGAAUUUGAUGCUUCAAAAUCGUGGCCAAGGUCCCCUUUUAUAGGCAAAGGAACAUCCAAAAUUCAAGUAGGCAAUGCAACUUGUUUCUGUCCAGCUUCAAGACAGCUGGAACAUGCAACUUGAUGCCAAUUUUCAGAUACAUUGUGCAGCGACUUUGGACUUAUGAUCAACAGAUAAAUUAUUACCACUUGAGUUAUCUUUCCAUUGGUUCAAAUAUCAGGUUCAUUGGAUCUAUAUAACUCCGGAUAUGACAAAAACAAUAAGUGCUGCUUCACAGGUAAAGCUGUAUCCGGCAGGUAACAAGCUGAACUUUGCACGGUAAUUUUGGCUGCUUUUUGAUACGAAUUUGACUUCUUCCAAAACAUGAAAGUUGUAGAAACGUACAUUUUCUUUCGAACCCAACUUGAAUCACCUCGAUCCAAUGUCUGAAGCUCAAGUUAUGAUUAUUUUACCAACAGCUGCUUCUUGCUUGAGGCAGUCACUAUUUUUGACUUUUCA
rnacentral:lncRNA from 1 species